UGGGGAAUAUUGCACAAUGGGGGGAACCCUGAUGCAGCCAUGCCGCGUGAAUGAAGAAGGCCUUCGGGUUGUAAAGUUCUUUCGGUGACGAGGAAGGUUGGUAGGUUAAUAGCCUAUCAAAUUGACGUUAAUCACAGAAGAAGCACCGGCUAACUCCGUGCCAGCAGCCGCGGUAAUACGGGGGGUGCGAGCGUUAAUCGGAAUAACUGGGCGUAAAGGGCACGCAGGCGGUGACUUAAGUGAGAUGUGAAAGCCCCGAGCUUAACUUGGGAAUUGCAUUUCAUACUGGGUCGCUAGAGUACUUUAGGGAGGGGUAGAACUCCACGUGUAGCGGUGAAAUGCGUAGAGAUGUGGAGGAAUACCGAAGGCGAAGGCAGCCCCUUGGGAAUGUACUGACGCUCAUGUGCGAAAGCGUGGGGAGCAAACAGGAUUAGAUACCCUGGUAGUCCACGCUGUAAACGAUGUCGAUUUGGGGAUUGGGCUUUGAGCUUGGUGCCCGUAGCUAACGUGAUAAAUCGACCGCCUGGGGAGUACGGCCGCAAGGUUA
rnacentral:rRNA from 1 species